GGAAAGCCCAGCUGCCAGCUUGGCGGAGGCAUGCUGGAUGAAGUUGAGAAAAUACUCAGGGAAAGAAUGCCCGCCUGCCCUUUCGCGUGGACCCUCAGUAAAUGCUGGCCCGGUGACGUGAUACACUGUAAUUCAAGGUGCUACCAGAAGAGGGCGUCUGGAAGUCAUCCGCUCCUGGCCCACUCCCUCCAGCUCCCACUUGCCU
rnacentral:lncRNA from 1 species